rnacentral:rRNA from 1 species
AGAGUUUGAUUCUGGCUCAGAAUGAACGCUGGCGGCGUGGAUAAGACAUGCAAGUCGAACGAGAAAACUGAUUAGUUUACUAAGAUGUUUUCUAGUGGCGGACGGGUUAGUAACACGUGAGCAACCUGCCUCGAAGCGGGGGAUAGCCUUCCGAAAGGGAGAUUAAUACCGCAUGUGGCCCCCUUUUAUUAGGGUGGUUAAAGGUGCCUUCGGGUAUCGCUUCGAGAUGGGCUCGCGGCCUAUCAGCUUGUUGGUGAGGUAAUGGCUCACCAAGGCUACGACGGGUAGCUGGUCUGAGAGGACGAUCAGCAACACUGGAACUGAGACACGGUCCAGACACCUACGGGUGGCAGCAGUCGAGAAUCAUUCACAAUGGGGGCAACCCUGAUGGUGCAACGCCGCGUGGAGGAUGAAGGCCCUAGGGUCGUAAACUCCUGUCAUAUGAGAGUAAGGCAUAUGUGUUAAUACCAUGUAUGUUUGAUAGUAUCAUAAGAGGAAGGGACGGCUAACUUCGUGCCAGCAGCCGCGGUAAUACGAAGGUCCCGAGCGUUAUUCGGAAUCACUGGGCGUAAAGAGUACGUAGGCGGUUUGGUAAGUCAGGUGUGAAAUCCCGGAGCUCAACUCCGGAACUGCAUCCGAUACUGCUAGACUUGAGUAAUGGAGGGGCAGGUGGAAUUCUCGGUGUAGCAGUGAAAUGCGUGGAUAUCGAGAGGAAGACCAAUGGCGAAGGCAGCCUGCUGGACAUUUACUGACGCUGAGGUACGAAGGCCAGGGUAGCGAAAGGGAUUAGAUACCCCUGUAGUCCUGGCAGUAAACGGUGCGCGCUUGGUGUAGGAGGACUCGACCCCUUCUGUGCCGGAGCUAACGCGUUAAGCGCGCCGCCUGGGGAGUACGGUCGCAAGACU